rnacentral:misc_RNA from 1 species
CUACAUCAGUGUUCAUGCCACUCGCAAAGCAAGCGGUUGUCUGUUGCUCCGCCAAUCUCUCUGACGUACAAUUCUGGUUUGGAGCUGUCCUUAUAAUACUCGCGUGUGAAAUGGACUUGAUAUACUUCCACAUACUAAACGCUAUGGAUAUAGAACUUUAGUGUGAAAGAUUCAGUGUUUUAGUGCUUGAAAAACAAGGCCUUGGAUGUUCAGAACGUUUCGGGAUUUCUCCAUUCAUUUGUGGCGUGUUUUGAAAAUAGAACCGCUAGUGUGCCAAGCGUAGCAUUCGCUCAGUGUAAACAGAAAACAUAUGAUUCGCGCGCAUUUUAAAAUGUGAACCAAUUAGUGUUCGAAAUUCAAAAUUCAUUUACAUAUAACAUUUUGUGAAGAACAAAUUGGAAUAGUUUUAAAAAUAUUUUGUAAUGAGAAUGUGUGUGUUCUAUAUUUGAAUUUGAAAUCUUAAAAUGGCGUCGAAUUAAGACUAAUGUGUUUAUAAUUGUUUGUGACGCUUGACAAUGAUAUUGUGAUUUAUUGGGAUUGUUGAUAAUUAUUAUUUGGAGAGCGUUUAUCUAUUGAAAAUGAAUUCGAACCGCCCAUUUUUCGGAUCCCACUCCGACACUUCAGCAAUUAAUAUUAAGAAUAUGGUGACAGAUCUCUUCACUCAGAUGCGAGAGCCGUCCCCCGGGGCGCCCAGCCCCAAGGGAUCCAACUCCUCGCUGACCAACGGCGCGGUGACCAGGAACAUUGGCUUCCAACAACAGAACACCGAAUUGCCUUGGAGUAGCCCGGCUAUAUCUCUGCCUGGGAACUGUAAUUCUAAUUUGACCAGUGAGACUCAGAACCCGAUGGCUCGCACGAUCAGCAACGCGUCUGCGCUGACAUCGCUCUGCGCCGACCUCUCAGCUUCAGACUCACACUUCUUUGAGGUCUUAUACAUCGGAAAGGUGAGGAUAUCUCAGCGCAAAGUUCCUGAGUCCUUGAUCGACGAUGCUUUGAACAAAUUCGCUCAACAUGAAGCUGAAAAAGCUUUGAAACAGAGGCGGCAUAGCUUGCUGUCUUCUACUGGGACAUCAAUAUACAGUUCAGAUUCUAAAGAGAACCUAGAAGAUGAAACAACACCACCACACGAGCGUUUUGCCAACAACAGCAAGAAGAUUCUAACACCCAGCACCACUCCUUUAGAACCCGACAAAGCCUGGGCAAGUGCUGAAACUCUUAGCACAACACGCAGCAAACCAGACACGAAGAAAAUAGACGAAGAAUUCGAUAUGUUCACUAAAGAACGAGCAGAAACAAUAAUUAAAAAGCCAACACAAACACCACUUGAACCUAGUGUCUUAGUUCUAAAUGUACCUAAAAAUAAUUUGGACACCGUCAAAGAAGAAGACAAAUCAGAUAUUUACUCUGUUAUAUCAGAAACGGCGUCUUCUAUCAAUGAGUUCUGUUUAAAAACCAAAAUUGAGAAUUCCAAAAUUGAUGCGAAAGACCCAGAUCCGUUUUUGGAUAAAGCUUCUCAGAAUCAGAAGGGUCGUGAGGAUAGUCCAACUCCGAUGAACUUUCAAGAGAUUAGUCGGAAGCCGGUGGUGACUGAGAGAAAGACGUUGAAUGAGAAUAAGCCGUUUUUGAGGGAUCGGUCAGCUUCUAUUGGAACUAUUAAUCAGAAAACUCCUAUUGCUCAGCUGAUUGGGGAACAAAAUAGGACUAUGCUAUUUCAAGUUGGUCGCGCAGAACUUCGUCUAAUAAGCCCUGAUAGAAAGCAGAUCCUUCUCCACCGAGGGUUCAAAGACGUGGCCUCUUGUGUCCUCGGGAGGAUCAAUAAGGAACACUUUGGCUUUGUAUGCAGAGAGACCAAUGAUACGUACGCGUGUUAUGUCUUCAAGUGUGAGAGCGAUUCUGUGGCUUUGGAGCUUAUUAAUGCCAUAAAACAAGCGUUCGUAGCUCACGCAGAGCUACUGAAGAAAUCCCGAGAGAAGUCACCAAACAUGACAUGUGAACACUGUCCUAUGUUGUGGUAUCAUCGCCUGUGCCAUGAUAUUGAAGGCAUGAACGACAAGAAGACCCACGCCUUCAUCCUCCGCCGCAUAGAACAGCUACCUGAAGAUGAGCAGGAUCUCAUAGUGACCAAGUACCAGGGAGGCACCAACCAUAUGUAUGAGACGGGUGAGCACAAUGCAUUUCUGAUGAUGUUGCUGCGCGCGCAUUGCGAAGCCAAGCAGACACGACAUGUGCACGACACCGCUGAGAAUAGAUCGGAGUUCCUAAACCAAUACCUAGGUGGCAGCACUAUAUUCUCAAAAGCUAGACGUUCGAUAUCCAGUAGUUUUGAUCUACUGAAACGCAAAGCCAGCAGGGAUGAGGGUGUUGUGCCUCCUAUUAUAAAGAAGGAAACAUCGCCUCUAUCAACUCCGGUACCGAUUGUGUUGGACACGGCAUCAGAGCCAGCGAAUCAGGAGUUACUGUCUCCUGAAGUCGUGAGGAGCAAAAGUCUGUCGCCAGCUGUGUUGGAAGAAGCGACACCAUCACCUCGGUCCAACAUGACUCCCACUCCUGAAGAGAGCGAGGAUACUGCUGACACUCCGGUCAACUCGCCCAUGAUGGAUAUUUUCCUGAAAGUGAGCGACAAUCGGCCCGCGCCAGUGGAAGCCGGCAGCGAGAACGAAGCUACUUGGAGACAGGCCAUAUACGAGAAAAUUGUACAGCCUGACGUGCAGGUUGAAGGCGAGUUAACUUCAAUGCGCAAACCGUCAGGGCCUAAAGGAAAGAGAACAAAAGAGGAGUUGAGAAGACUAUGGAAGAUGGCUAUAGACCAGACCAUACUGCUGGUCAGGAUGGAGAAGGAGAACGCUAGGCUGAGAGAAAGUGAAGAAUCAUCAGCGGUCCGUAGAAUAAAACUGGAAUAUACAGAACUGGGUGUAUGUGAUGCUGGAGUGAGUCUCAUGUGGGAUUCCUUACUAUCCCGGGACCCUUCACAGCCAAUGGCGAAGGUUGACAGGCAUAUGCUGACUCAGGCUGUGAUUCAAGGAGUCCCCCGCAUGUCCCGCGGCGGCGUGUGGUACUUCCUGGCGGAGCAGGCGUGUCUGCGCUCGGCGCCGCCCGACACUGCCACGUGUCCGCUGUACCACACGCCUUACUCUGUACUGUUGGCGGGGUUGACGAAACAUCAGCAUGCUAUACUGAUUGAUUUGGGUCGCACAUUCCCAAAACACUCGUACUUCGCAUCAGCAUUGGGUCCUGGACAGCUGGCGUUAUACAAUCUACUGAAAGCUUACUCUCUGUUAGACCCUGAUGUGGGGUACUGUCAGGGUCUGAGCUUCGUGGCUGGGGUGCUGUUGCUUCAUAUGGAAGAGGCAGAAGCAUUCAUACUGUUACGUCACUUGAUGUUCAGAAGAGGUCUUAGAAAGCAAUACUUACCAGAUAUGAGCGCUCUGCAAGUUCAGCUCUACCAACUGUCCCGUCUGCUCCGUGACCACGAACCAGAUCUUCACGCAAAGUUAGAAGCCCUGGACAUCUCCCCGGCGCUGUAUGCAGCUCCCUGGAUGUUGACGCUCUUCACCAGUCAGUUCCCACUGGGAUUUGUCGUCAGGGUCUUUGACCUGAUAUUCCUAGAAUCUCUAGACAUAGUAUUCUCUGUGUCUCUGGCUCUGCUGUCAGCUCACAAAGACGGGCUGAUGCUGUGUGAGAGCUGCGAGGAAGCUGCGGAGUACCUCAAGCAUAAGCUGCCUGAUAUGAACCGAGGGUUCUAUGAGAAGGUUAUGAAGAAGGUCCUAUCACUAGACAUAAGUCGUCAACUCUGUGACUACGCAGUAGAAUACGCGGUACUUCGGGAAGAGAUGCCGCGACUAGCCGCCCUUACUGAGGAGAAUAGACUACUGAUCGACGAUAAGAAUAGAUUGGGAGAAGAGCUUGAUGAAGCCAUGGACGCCAUUACAAAUUACCAGAAAACGCAAACACGCUUAGAAACACAGAACAAAUCCUUAGAACAACAGUUAACCUUGCUAAGCCGCUACAUUUCCGCUCACCACAAACAAGACAUACCAAUAGAAAUCAAGAAAAUCGUCCAAAACCACAGCAAGAAGCUAUCCUUCAAAAUCUUCUCCACGAAAUUCUCCAACGACCAACCAGAGCCUGAAGACCCGAGGAAGAAUUUCAAGACAGGGAUAAGCUCGCCGAAUUUAUUCGCGAAAAUACGCGAGGAUUCUCCAAAAGAUAUAGAGCAUGAACGAAGACAGUUUAUGAUGAAGAAAUCGCAGUCAGUCCAUUCUGGUCUGAUAGCUAAUAUGAAGAAUUACCAACUCAAAGUACUAGAUGAGAAAAAUGAGAACCACAAAACAGAAAAUAUCACAGACAGUUUGAAGGAACUAGGCAAGAAGAAUUCUGGGUUCUUUGCAAGCACACACGAGCAGAUACGUCAAGAAAGGCUCUUUGAGCAUCAACUCAAAAAUAACUUUGAUGAGAAUUUGCGAAAGUUGGACGAAAAAUUGAAUGAGAAGUUAAACCCUACAUCGUAUAUAGAUGAUUUGAGCAUAUUUCAGAGUAGAAAAAGUAUGUCUUUGAAUUUACAGCAAGGGAAAGAUGGUAAAGUAGGGGAUAGUGGGUUCGUUACCCCGUUGAGUCCAGACGAGAAGAAAGAAGAUUCCUGUUCCACUAUUUCUCAUCCUUUAAGUGAUGUGGAUGUGGACAUAAAGUUUGACGGACAGUCGACUAAGCUAAAACAGAUUAGACCUAUUAAACAUGUUGUUAGUGACAAAUCGUAGUACUUGCCUAAAUUAUUUUGAAAUAAAGAAUUUGUAUAGAAAUGAAAUUAUAUCUUCAUUUGUCUAGCCUUUUCCCAACAUAAUUUGGGAAAAGGGUUCGGGAGAUCAUGAAAAGAUUAAAAUUCGUUUCUAUACGGGUUCCAUAUUCUCAUACAUAAUUAAUUUGUAGUGUAGGCUGAAUAUUAUUAAAUGCGCAACGUGGAUUAAGAUAAUACUAGCUGCUUCCCGCGGUUUCAUCUGCGUCCCGAGGGAACAACUUUCCGCACUUGAAUAAAAAGUAGAUCAAUAUUGUUGAUUUCUAUAUGAGUUAUAGUACUUUUUUCACUAAAAACAACUGUCGAGUCGAUUUUGAUAAAAUUUUAGGAAAAUCGUGGACGAAAAUGGUGAAAUCGCGGUUUAAAAUUAAAAAUAUAUAUAUAGAAAUUAAAUACGAUGGUCUGUGUUCAUAGCAUAGGAUAUAUACCACACGUUAUUUAUUCUAUAGAAUAACGUUGACUUGCACCAUUUAACUAUAACGAUAACCAAACCAUAACCAUAUACUUGUCGCCCAUUGGUCACAUCGGCGAUUUGACUACUGAAAAUGGUUCGGUUAUCGUUAUAGUUAAAUGGUGCAAUUCACCUUAAGUAUUAUAUUUCUGCGAAAAAGAGAUAGCACUAUGUAUGUAGCGCGCUGUUUCACUCACACUGUGAUGGCAAAAACACAUGUUCUCGCUUUAAGCUUUUAGUUAAUAACUGUAUAGUAAAAUACAUUAGAUUAAAUAAAUAUAAUAAUUAAGAAUUGGUAUUAUAAGCUGGCAUAAUUAUCGGAUGUUUUAUUGUCAAGGUAUUAUCGACUUUGUCUUCUUUGAAAUUGAGUCUAAAAUUAUUUAACACAACUAUGAAAUGAAUAAUAUCGAAGUUACUACAUGGAAAAGCAUAACUUUUAAGAUGUUUUAUUUUAAGAAAAGUGGGUGAUCCAAAUGUUUUUAUUUCAAAUAGGCCUUUGCAGGCUCCUGUGAAGCGUCACACUAGUUACACGGUUCAAAAAAGUUGGUGUCAUGGAGAAGAGCCGGCAAGAAACUUCAUAAAUGUAAAUUUAUGUGCAAAUUGUCACAUGUAUUCACCCGCUUUCGUGAGAUAAAAUACCUUUAAUUGAAUAUAGACUCUAUCUCAAUAGUGUUAGUGUCGAUAAUAAUUUGACAGUAAAACAUUUUCGCUACGAUUUGCCCGUUCGCCGGCCGUCACUCACAAAGUUCCCAUAAAGCACCAAUAAAUAAAUUAAUUAAGUAAUAAAUAAAAGUAAAAUAAUAAUAAUCUAUAUUUGUUGCACAAGAUAUUUAUAAUUAUUUUUAUUGUAUAAAAAGACAGUGAGCACUGUAUAUGUUUAUAGAAAUAUAUAAUAAUAAAUGCAAGUAAGUGUCAGUUUAUAAAUCGGCCGUAAAUAGUAUUGAGUAUUAAGUUAAUUUGAUAAUAAUGAUGACUUUGAGUACGUACCCGCAGAAAGAAAACUUAUAGUUGGCCGAUAGUUUGUUUGGGCUCAUAAAUCAGUAUGAAGAUGAAUGGUAGUACGCACAUUGCAAAGAUCAGGUAUUUACCUGGUAUCAGACAGACUGAAAACUUUGAUUUGUCAAGAUUUUCUUUAAAAAACAAUUGCUAUCCAUUGGGUUAACUGUUGGCCGACUAUUUACUAUUAGUGUAUAUUUUAAUCUUACUUGCAUAUUGUCUUGCAGAUAUUAUUUUUUACAAAAAAAGUAUUACCUUACUUUUGUAUUCCGCCGAAGUUGGGUAAAAAAGAGAUUUCUUGCUCUCAGUGUUCAAUAAGGAAGGCCAAAGAAUGCUCUUUUAUUGAAUUCACUUCCAAAAAUCAGGUCUUAAGAUAUUUUUUAUGUAUUACGAAUUAUUAUAAAUUGCUCAAAAUUUUUACUUUUUUAUUAUAAUAAAAUUAUAAAUAAGCGUAAUAAUUACUUACGUAAGGACACUGAAAUUACGUUCUGGCUUAAAUAUAGUGAAAUAUUGUGAUUUAUUUUAUAAAUAUUAAAAAUAAAUGAUUAAUAGUUGAUA